rnacentral:misc_RNA from 1 species
AUAAAUUAAAAUUUUCAAUAUCAUAAUAAUUUCAAUUUUGACAGCAAAAAUAAUCCUUGUCAGUUCUUCAUGCAUGGAGAUUCUAAAUCAUUCUAAAAAAAGAUAAUGGGUUUCUUCAAUUUUCAUUUCAUGUAAAUCCAUAAUUAGACAAAAAUUUGGUAAUAAUUUAUAGGCGAAUGAAAUGGUUAUGACGAGAUUGUCAGCCCAAGAGGAAAAGAAGUUCUAAAUAAAAGAUUUUGACAGUUAAUUCUCGCGGGAAUCUUUGCUGUUCUGUACUUCUGUUCGGUUCGUUUUGUUUUGAUAAAGCCAGAAAACCCAAAAGCACUUUCUGUGUUUUCCUUUCUUUUCUUCAAGGGCAAGGGGUAUACUUUCGGUAAGUGUCGUCUUUCUCCUAUCAACAAGCCGACUUUUUGACACUGUCGGUGUGGAAUUCCACUUUUGUUUUAUGUUUUUGGUUAUUUUAAUAUUGCAAGAAAUGUUUGAAAACAACGUGCACUGCUGUAUUGUUCUUCCAAACAUUAUUCAAUAAAUAAAGCUGCCCUCUACUGGGUAUUUUGGUUUGGUUUUUUGUUUGAAUCUGUGUUUGUGUCCUGUUUCUGUAACGACUGCUACAGUGGGAUUUGUUUCUUUUCUUCAAUACGAUGAUGGGUCAAUUUGAUUUCACUCUCUGAUUCUCAAUUCUCAGUGGGUUCUUGGCUUCCUCACAAGCACAGAAUUGAAUCUUGCUUCGCAUUAUCGAACGUUUUGGAUUGGAGCUUGUUCUGUCUGUCAACUGAUAUUGGGAUCACUUAACGUUGAUGGAGUAUGGCUACAUCUGUUAAAUCAAAGAAAAAAUGCCAUACUAUCAAGACUGCUUUGGCAUUUGCUAUUCUUGAAUGGUUACUAAUUUGUAUGCUCUUCAUUGAUGCUAUAUUAUCAUACUUAAUCACAAAAUUUGCCAGUUAUUAUGAACUGCAAACACCAUGCCUGCUGUGCUCAAGACUUGAUCAUAUUUUAGGCAAUAAAAAAUUGAAAUAUUAUUGGGAUUUGAUCUGUGGCAAACAUAAGUUAGAGAUCUCAUCCUUAGUUCUGUGUCAUGCUCAUAAUAAUCUUGUUGACGUCCAUGGAAUGUGUGAAACUUGCUUGUUUUCAUUUGCCACAAUCAACAAGUCAAAUGCUGAAACAUACAGAUUAUUGGUGGGUAAAUUGGGGGAGGGUUCUAGCUUUGGUCUAAAUGAGGACCCAUUACUUGAUGAUCAUACAUCAAGUCCCCGACUCUGUUCUUGUUGCAAUGAGCCAUGGAUUCCAAGAGGGUACAGCCGAAAGUUGAUGCAGACCAAAAUAGUUCGUUCUGUAACUGCUGAUUCUGAUGGCCCUUUAUCUGGCACUGUUGGAUACAAUCAGGACAACCUGAAGAAGAUUGAACAAUCUAUGUCAGUCAGAGCUACGCAUCAAAGAAUAAAUAUUGGGUUUGACCAUUUAUCUCAUAUAGGGUACACAGAGCUCAAUGUUAAUUCUGAUAAUGAAUCUGAAGUCCUGUUGUCUGAUGAUGAUAAUUAUGCAAAUGCUCAAAAUUGUGAAAAUAAUCCCAAUGAAGAUAUUGCAGUUGGAUAUGUGCAGACUGAGCCUCGCAUUAUUACUCUACCUGAUGAUUUAGCCUCAGCAAAAUUGAUAGAUGCAGUUACUGCACCUCAGAUUCCAAUUUCAGUCUCACUCUCACAUAUACAGUCAGGUUUUAUUGAGUCCCAUGGUGUUACUUCUAUAUCUCCUACAGUUGCCAUGGGGCAUUGUUUUGAAGAAUUUGAUUGUCAACAAGCUGAUGUCAAGUCUGAUCUCUCUGUAUUCCCUGAGCUGAUUUCCAUUGAUGAAGUUCCUCCAUCAUCAAUUGCCAAAGAAACUCCCAUUGAAGUAUCAGAAGAAAGCAAGCAUAGUUUCCUGCACGAUGUUCCUCCAUCAUUGAAUACCAAAGAAACUCUUGUGGAAGCAUCAAACGAGAGUACACUUAUUUCAGUAGAAGAUGUUACUUCAUCGUCAGUUGCUGGAGAAACUCCUCUGCAAGCAUCAGAAAAGAGUAAUCUUAUUUCUGUAGAUGAUGUUCAUCAAUCAUCAGAAAGCAAAGAAACCCCAGCUCAAGUAUCAACAAAUGGCAAGCUUGUUUCUAUUGUUGAUGUCCUUCCAUUAUCAAGUGCAGUGGAAACUCCUGUUCAAGGUUUGGAAGAUAAUUGUAUUGCUAGAACUGAGGAAAUUCAGCAAAUAGCUGUGACAGAUUGUGAGGAGAUCUGCAAGACAAAAACUAGAUCAGCUACAAUGACUGAAACAGCUGCAGAAACAAACCCUGUUUCAAGUGAUAGUGGUCCGCAAGUGCCCAACUUGUUGGAUCUUGGUGAUGCUUAUAAGCUAGCAGUUGGCAGUAGGGGGAGACAAUUAUCUGGAGCUCUUGCAGAACAAUGGAUAGGGAAGGAUUCUUCAAGACUCAGUGAUGAUUUGAAGCUCUUAUUUUCACAGUUAUCUGCUGCUCGAGAGCAGUCAUUAAAUGAUACAAGUCCCAGAGUUCCUAUGAGCCCAGGAGUCUCUAUGAGUCCAAAAUUGUCUGUAAAUAGUGAUGAAUUGAAGAAUCCUGAUGCUUCUAGUGCCAUAGGAAUGCGAAUACUUCAAAAGAGAAUCUCACUUGAGAGAAAUGAGUCUGUUAUUUCUCUGGAUGGAAGCAUCUUCAGCGAAAUUGAAGGUGAAAGUGUGGUUGAUAGGUUGAAACUGCAGAUUGAGCAUGAUAAAAAAUUGCUGAGUGCUUUAUACAAGGAAUUGGAAGAAGAAAGAAAUGCAUCUGCAAUUGCAGCAAAUCAAGCAAUGGCUAUGAUUACUAGACUGCAGGAAGAGAAGGCAACACUCCAAAUGGAAGCCCUGCAGUACCUAAGAAUGAUGGAAGAGCAAGCUGAGUAUGAUAUGGAAGCCCUGCAAAAAACAAAUGACCUCCUCAUAGAGAGGGAGAAAGAGCUUCAAGAUCUAGAAGCGGAGGUUGACUUUUAUAGGAACAAUCUCCCAAGUGAAUCAUUAUUGGAGGAUACCAAGGAAUGAAUUUCUGAUUUGAAGAAAAAAGAUAUCAAGGAGGAGCACUCAGAAACUAGUUCCGUUCAAGUAACUGUAAGAACACCGAGAAAAUCCGUUACUGAAAAACCAGAUAUCUGCGGCAAGGAAGAGAUAUGUCUUCUGUGGAUAAUAAUAUCGGUAAUGUGAAAAUUUUAUUGCUAGAUUUUGAAGAUGAAAGAUUGUAUAUCUUACAGUGCAUGAAAAAAUUGGAAAAGAAGCUUUGCCUGUAUUCUAAUAAUCAACUAGACUUGGCUAAUGGUGAAUAUUAUGAAAACGUAGAAGAAAGGGUAAAAGACUUGGAAGGAAAUGAAUAACCAAUUGGGAUAUCAAGUAAACAGUGGAGCAGAAGAGAAUGACUUCUCAACACAGAAUGAUGAAAUGGACCUGUUAAAGGACAUGCUUUGUCAAUUGAGAAAUCUGAGUUAAUUGGUAAUGAAUGUAAUAAAAAUCUUUAUAGUGGGCAAAGCUCUCCUCUGGCCUCUGGGGGGAUUGAUCUGUAUUCUCUUGCGAAUGAGAGGUUAAAAGUUCUCGAGGCAGACAGGUAUUUUCUUGAGCAUAACUUCAACUCAAUCAGAAAUGGAGAGGAGGGAUUUCGAUUCAUUCAAGAAAUAGCUUCGCACCUGAAAGAAUUAAGAAGGAUUGGGAUGAGAAGGGAGCAAAAAAUUGCUGAAGGCUUCAUCUAAAAACCAUCACAAAUGUAAGCAUUUCAAUCCUCUACGUAUGCAAGCAUAUUCAUGCAAAUUUUCAUUGAAAAUAUCUGCGUUCGACUUUUUCUUUCUUCUUGCACGUGAGGCUCUCUGCCUUCAUUUUUGAGCAUUUGCGAAUGCCUGCACUCUCCUUCUCUCAUGCAAUAAUUUUUUUUCUGCGUAAUAUUUAUGCAUUUGAGCUUUGACAUCUUACAUGAUCUUUUUACCUGCUCUCUGGUGCAUGCAAUUCAUUCAUAAUUCUAGAAGCUUAUCACCAUCGUCCACUUGCUUAUGUGUUCUAAUUUUUCUCAGAUGCUUGUGAGAGAAAAGAGAUACUUUGAUGCUUCAGAAGUAGAAAGGCUAUUUAUUCAUAGUACACUCAAAUCUGGUAAUGAAGGUUGGCAAUCAAAUGUACAGUUCCUUUUAAGUUUUUUUCCUCUCAUUUUCAUUAAUAUUUUUUUUUUGGUGUGACUGGUGAAUAUAAUGUACAAGAGCUGAUUUUUUGUGUGUAAAAGAGAGUAUUGUGACUAUAAAUAGUGAAAAAUUUAUCAUUCAACGUGAGCAGAUCCAUGUUUCAAUUUGUACAUUACUUCAAUGAAAG